rnacentral:rRNA from 1 species
GGUUAAGCGACUAAGCGUACACGGUGGAUGCCCUGGCAGUCAGAGGCGAUGAAGGACGUGCUAAUCUGCGAAAAGCGUCGGUAAGGUGAUAUGAACCGUUAUAACCGGCGAUGUCCGAAUGGGGAAACCCAGUGCAAUUCGUUGCACUAUCGUUAACUGAAUACAUAGGUUAACGAGGCGAACCGGGGGAACUGAAACAUCUAAGUACCCCGAGGAAAAGAAAUCAACCGAGAUUCCCCCAGUAGCGGCGAGCGAACGGGGAGCAGCCCGGAGUCUGAAUCAGCUUGUGUGUUAGUGGAAGCGUCUGGAAAGUCGCAGGGUACAGGGUGAUACUCCCGUACACUAAAACACACAGGCUGUGAACUCGAAGAGUAGGGCGGGACACGUGGUAUCCUGUCUGAAUAUGGGGGGACCAUCCUCCAAGGCUAAAUACUCCUGACUGACCGAUAGUGAACCAGUACCGUGAGGGAAAGGCGAAAAGAACCCCGGCGAGGGGAGUGAAAAAGAACCUGAAACCGUGUACGUACAAGCAGUAGGAGCCCACUAGUUGGGUGACUGCGUACCUUUUGUAUAAUGGGUCAGCGACUUAUAUUCUGUAGCAAGGUUAACCGUAUAGGGGAGCCGCAGGGAAACCGAGUCUUAACUGGGCGUUAAGUUGCAGGGUAUAGACCCGAAACCCGGUGAUCUAGCCAUGGGCAGGUUGAAGGUUGGGUAACACUAACUGGAGGACCGAACCGACUAAUGUUGAAAAAUUAGCGGAUGACUUGUGGCUGGGGGUGAAAGGCCAAUCAAACCGGGAGAUAGCUGGUUCUCCCCGAAAGCUAUUUAGGUAGCGCCUCGUGAACUCAUCUUCGGGGGUAGAGCACUGUUUCGGCUAGGGGGUCAUCCCGACUUACCAACCCGAUGCAAACUACGAAUACCGAAGAAUGUUAUCACGGGAGACACACGGCGGGUGCUAACGUCCGUCGUGAAGAGGGAAACAACCCAGACCGCCAGCUAAGGUCCCAAAGUCAUGGUUAAGUGGGAAACGAUGUGGGAAGGCCCAGACAGCCAGGAUGUUGGCUUAGAAGCAGCCAUCAUUUAAAGAAAGCGUAAUAGCUCACUGGUCGAGUCGGCCUGCGCGGAAGAUGUAACGGGGCUAAACCAUGCACCGAAGCUGCGGCAGCGACACUAUGUGUUGUUGGGUAGGGGAGCGUUCUGUAAGCCGUUGAAGGUGGCCUGUGAGGGUUGCUGGAGGUAUCAGAAGUGCGAAUGCUGACAUAAGUAACGAUAAUGCGGGUGAAAAACCCGCACGCCGGAAGACCAAGGGUUCCUGUCCAACGUUAAUCGGGGCAGGGUGAGUCGACCCCUAAGGCGAGGCCGAAAGGCGUAGUCGAUGGGUAACAGGUUAAUAUUCCUGUACUUGGUGUUACUGCGAAGGGGGGACGGAGAAGGCUAUGUUGGCCGGGCGACGGUUGUCCCGGUUUAAGCAUGUAGGCGGAUGUUCCAGGUAAAUCCGGAACGUCAUUAACGCUGAGGUGUGAUGACGAGGCACUACGGUGCUGAAGUGACAAAUGCCCUGCUUCCAGGAAAAGCCUCUAAGCAUCAGGUAACAUCAAAUCGUACCCCAAACCGACACAGGUGGUCAGGUAGAGAAUACCAAGGCGCUUGAGAGAACUCGGGUGAAGGAACUAGGCAAAAUGGUGCCGUAACUUCGGGAGAAGGCACGCUGAUGGUAGGUGAAGUGACUUGCUCAUGGAGCUGAAAUCAGUCGAAGAUACCAGCUGGCUGCAACUGUUUAUUAAAAACACAGCACUGUGCAAACACGAAAGUGGACGUAUACGGUGUGACGCCUGCCCGGUGCCGGAAGGUUAAUUGAUGGGGUUAUCCUCGCGGAGAAGCUCUUGAUCGAAGCCCCGGUAAACGGCGGCCGUAACUAUAACGGUCCUAAGGUAGCGAAAUUCCUUGUCGGGUAAGUUCCGACCUGCACGAAUGGCGUAAUGAUGGCCAGGCUGUCUCCACCCGAGACUCAGUGAAAUUGAACUCGCUGUGAAGAUGCAGUGUACCCGCGGCAAGACGGAAAGACCCCGUGAACCUUUACUAUAGCUUGACACUGAACACUGGUCCUUGAUGUGUAGGAUAGGUGGGAGGCUUUGAAGUGUGGACGCCAGUCUGCAUGGAGCCAUCCUUGAAAUACCACCCUUUAAUGGCUGGUGUUCUAACGUGGGCCCGUGAUCCGGGUUGCGGACAGUGUCUGGUGGGUAGUUUGACUGGGGCGGUCUCCUCCUAAAGAGUAACGGAGGAGCACGAAGGUCAGCUAAUCCUGGUCGGACAUCAGGAGGUUAGUGCAAUGGCAUAAGCUGGCUUGACUGCGAGCGUGACGGCGCGAGCAGGUGCGAAAGCAGGUCAUAGUGAUCCGGUGGUUCUGAAUGGAAGGGCCAUCGCUCAACGGAUAAAAGGUACUCCGGGGAUAACAGGCUGAUACCGCCCAAGAGUUCAUAUCGACGGCGGUGUUUGGCACCUCGAUGUCGGCUCAUCACAUCCUGGGGCUGAAGUAGGUCCCAAGGGUAUGGCUGUUCGCCAUUUAAAGUGGUACGCGAGCUGGGUUUAGAACGUCGUGAGACAGUUCGGUCCCUAUCUGCCGUGGGCGCUGGAGAAUUGAGGGGGGCUGCUCCUAGUACGAGAGGACCGGAGUGGACGCAUCACUGGUGUUCGGGUUGUCAUGCCAAUGGCAUUGCCCGGUAGCUAAAUGCGGAAGAGAUAAGUGCUGAAAGCAUCUAAGCACGAAACUUGCCCCGAGAUGAGUUCUCCCUGACCCUUUAAGGGUCCUGAAGGAACGUUGAAGACGACGACGUUGAUAGGCCGGGUGUGUAAGCGCAGCGAUGCGUUGAGCUAACCGGUACUAAUGAACCGUGAGGCUUAACCUU